ensembl:lncRNA
GUCCGAGCUGCAUUUUCAAGACAAAGUGAUAUGCCAAGCAUUACACCACCGAAGGCGUAUCCCUCCAGACCUCAACCCAGCUUUGUAUUACCUGUCAACGAAUUGGUGAUUGGUCGCCUGAUGCCUCAGAAUAGGUUUGCUGAACGCAACAUUGUCCACUGCUUGCGGUGCAAGAAGCCGCAGAAACAUCUCGCUGGCCACCUGGCUAGAGUGUGUAUGAAAGACAGCACAGCAGAAGAAAGGCAAGCUGAGAUCCAGAAGGCCAAGGUAUCUUCCAGACGGUGGGUCUGGAGGAACAGGACCUGGGAUUACCUCCAGCUUUGUUCUAUCCUGCCCCACAGUCCGUGUGCUUCUUUACUGGCGGAAGAAUUUCAGAGGCGUGGGUUCUUUAUCACCAACAUGCUGCAAGAGUCAGACAUGGCCAUUGACUCAGGUGAUGCCACCUCCUCACAACAGGGUUCGACUUCUGAUCAGAGAUAUGAUGACAGUGUUCGCACACCGACACAGUACCAGGCCAUUUUGGCAGUAGCCAGGAACGACUUCCUGAAAAUCUUUC